CUGGAUAUAAAUAUUGAUUUUUGAGUUUAUUCUCAUUUCGUUAUUUUGUUUCGGCCUGAGAUUUAGAGAAUGUUUAAGAUUUAAAAUUAUUAAAAAGAUACAUACUUAGGUUAAGAUAUGUGUCAUGUGCAGAAUAAAUAUUUUAUAUGUAUUACUUAUUUUAUGUUUUUCUGCAUAUUAUGAAAUAAUAAAAUAAUAAUU
rnacentral:lncRNA from 1 species